rnacentral:tRNA from 3 species
GGCAACUUGGCCGAGUGGUCUAAGGCGCUAGACUCAAGUUCUAGUUCAGAGAUGAGCGCGCGUUCGAAUCGCGCAGUUGUCA